rnacentral:lncRNA from 1 species
GUUAUUUGACUGGAGUGAGGUCUCAUGUCUGCUUAUGCGGUGGCUCGCUGCUCAGAACAGGGAGGAAGAGGGUAAUCUGGAAGAGUUUCCUGACCUACUCUGCUGCUGUGAUUAAACAACCACCAGGAAAUUUUGAUGACACUGUUCUCCUGAGCUCCUCCCUUUCCUCGGGGAAGAAAAGCAUUGAAACUACAAAAAUAAAGUGUUAUUUGGCUGGAGUGAGGUCUCAUGUCUGCUUAUGCGGUGGCUCGCUGCUCAGAACAGGGAACCAUUGGAGAUACUCAUUACUCUUUGAAGGCUUACAGUGGAAUGAAUUCAAAUACGACUUAUUUGAGGAAUUGAAGUUGACUUUAUGGAGCUGAUAAGAAUCUUCUUGGAGAAAAAAAGACUGGGAGCCCCCUGUGUGGGAAUAGCCUGUCUCAACGACGCCCUCUAUAAGGACCUGCUUCCUCAAAGGACCUCAUAGUCGGGUCCUGCCCCUCAGUGUCCAGUCUGCCUUGGCUGGAGGGGCUGCAGGGGUGUGUUGGCGCCACCUGGUGGAGACAGGG